rnacentral:rRNA from 1 species
UGGCUCAGGAUGAACGCUAGCUACAGGCUUAACACAUGCAAGUCGAGGGGCAGCAUUGGGAUAGCUGCUAUUCAGAUGGCGACCGGCGCACGGGUGAGUAACGCGUAUCCAACCUCCUGCCAGUAGGGAACAGCCCGGCGAAAGUCGGAUUAAUGCCCUAUGUUCUUCAAUGCGGACAUCUAAGUUGAAGGAAAGAUUCAUCGCUGGCAGAUGGGGAUGCGUCCGAUUAGCUUGCCGGCGGGGUAACGGCCCACCGGGGCGACGAUCGGUAGGGGUUCUGAGAGGAAGGUCCCCCACACUGGUACUGAGACACGGACCAGACUCCUACGGGAGGCAGCAGUGAGGAAUAUUGGUCAAUGGGCGUAAGCCUGAACCAGCCAAGUAGCGUGCAAGGAUGACGGCCCUACGGGUCGUAAACUGCUUUUAUGCGGGGAUAAAGUGCGGCACGUGUGCCGCUUUGCAGGUACCGCAUGAAUAAGGACCGGCUAAUUCCGUGCCAGCAGCCGC